rnacentral:rRNA from 1 species
GAUGAACGCUGGCGGCGUGCCUAAUACAUGCAAGUCGAGCGAACAGACGAGGAGCUUGCUCCUCUGACGUUAGCGGCGGACGGGUGAGUAACACGUGGAUAACCUACCUAUAAGACUGGGAUAACUUCGGGAAACCGGAGCUAAUACCGGAUAAUAUAUUGAACCGCAUGGUUCAAUAGUGAAAGACGGUUUUGCUGUCACUUAUAGAUGGAUCCGCGCCGCAUUAGCUAGUUGGUAAGGUAACGGCUUACCAAGGCAGCGAUGCGUAGCCGACCUGAGAGGGUGAUCGGCCACACUGGAAGUGAGACACGGUACAGACUCCUACGGGAGGCAGCAGUAGGGAAUCUUACGCAAUGGGCGAAAGCCUGACGGAGCAACGCCGCGUGAGUGAUGAAGGUGUUCGGAUCGUAAAACUCUGUUAUUAGGGAAGAACAAAUGUGUAAGUAACUAUGCACGUCUUGACGGUACCUAAUCAGAAAGCCACGGCUAACUACGUG